AAACCAUGAAGAAACUGAUCCUUGAUCUUCCAGACCACUAUCGCCACACUCUCAAGUUCCUGGUCUGUCAUCUGAAGACUGUGGCGGAUCAUGCCGAUAAGAACAAGAUGGAGCCCAGGAACCUGGCUCUUGUGUUCGGUCCCACUCUGGUGCGAACCUCUGAGGACAACAUGACUGACAUGGUCACCCACAUGCCAGACCGUUACAAGAUCAUUGAAACGCUCAUCCUGCAUCACGACUGGUUCUUCAGCGAUGGAGAGCUGAGUGAGGAUGAGAAGGUAUGUGGAAAGGAAAGAAAUUAUACAUUUGACAAACAUUUUC